rnacentral:rRNA from 1 species
AGCCGUGGAGCGUGGAUAGGCAUGCAAGUCGAGCGAGAUCAACUUGCUUCAAUUCUUCGGGAGAGAAGCCUGUUGUGAGAGCGGCGAACGGGUGAGUAAUAUAUGGGUAAUUUACCUCUUUGUUUGGGAUAGCCAUCGGAAACGAUGAUUAAUACCGAAUGUGUUCGGGAGCUGGUUAGUUCUUAUAUAUAAGGGCGAUGAUCUUAGGAUUGACACAGAGAGAUAAGCCCAUAUCCUAUCAGCUUGUUGGUGAGGUAAUGGCUCACCAAGGCUUACGGGUAGCUGGUCUGAGAGGAUGAUCAGCCACACUGGAACUGAGACACGGUCCAGACUCCUACGGGAGGCUGCAGUCGAGAAUCAUUGUCAAUGCACGGAAGUGGAAACAUCCGACCCCGCGGUGGAAAAGAAGCCGGCCUUCCGGGUGUGUAACCUCCCUGUCAGCGGGGGAGUAAGGAUAAGAUAUACUUAAUACGUUUUUCUAAUUUGAAAGUACCUGCAGAAAGAAAGUCCCGGCUUACUUCUGGUCCCCACCCCCCCGGGGUAAUUCACAAAGUUGGCAAAACUUUUUUUCGGAUUUUCUGGGGCGUAAAGGGGCCCCCCCGGCCCUUUUUUUGUGUCCCAAUUGGAAAACCCCCCGGCCCACCCCGGGGGGAUUUUCCUUUCAAACUCCGAAAAAAAUAAUUUUUGGGGGGGGAAAAAAGGGACCCCUUGGGGGGGCCGGGGAAAAACCGCAAAAUUUUCGGGGGGGAACCAGGGGGGGAAAGCCCCCCUUUUGGAAAAAUUUUUCCCCCCCUUGAAAAAAAAAUUUUUGGGGCGCGGAAGGAAAAAAACCCCCCGGGGAAAUCCCAAAAAAAAGGGGGGGGGGAGGGGGGGGUAAAAAUACCCCCCUUCUCGGAGAAAAAAAUUAAUCCGCCCGCGGGGGGGUGCUCCCAGAGAGAAAAAUAUAAUUCUCUUGAGGUGGAGAG